rnacentral:lncRNA from 10 species
GGAACCCGGACCUACAUGGAGGCGCCUCCCCAGGAUGGACAUGGCACCCACAUUGGCACCCUCUGGUCUUGUCCCCACAGGACACCCCUCUGUCAUGGUGAUCAAGACGGCUAGGGGGCAGGGAAGGCGAGAAGAGGGAGGAGACACUGGUGUGACUCAUAGCAAAGUAAGAGCUUCUUCCCUCCUCUCUGCACCCCAAAUACGAUGAGGAGACUGAGUCCCAAGAUCACCCAGAUACAAUAAUAAUUGUAGUAUUAACAUACAAGUUACCAUUGAAGGAGCACCGGCUGCGUUCCAGGCACUGUGCUAGACACUUCACAUGCGGUGAACCUGUGAGGCAGAUCCAUGACUGGCAACAUUGUACAGAGGGGAAAACUGAGGCUCAAAGAAGGCUGCAUUAGAACUAAGCAAGCUAUUGAUACCACACUGACCUAAAAAUAACAAAUGGCGAAGUCAGUGGCCUAGGAGGCUGGAGAAUCUUAACACCAGGUGGCCCAGGGCAUACCCAGAGCUUCUGGCAACCGAAAUCUGGAAAAAGUGGUAACAGUUCCAUCUGGUCAAAUGACAAAAGCCUAAAUUUGUAUCAAGUAGUGGCUGAUAACAGUCAAUUUCUACCUAGAAGGCACUACGUUGGAUCUAGGUGUUCAGGGUUCUUUAAGUCAUGCUCUGAAUGAAUAAGCAAUGAUUCCAAAGUAUGUGAAGCUAGCCUCACAGAUUGAAGUCCUUGAAAUCACACUUUCCAAACAGCUUCAAAUGAAGAACAAGCUCAUACAAACUCAAGAGUGCUUGAUCGAUGAGCAACUCCAGCAAGUGAAGACAUCACAGUCUGGGGCAGUGCAUGGCUGACCCCUUUACCUGUUGAACUAGCUGCUUUGGCCCUUGUUUCAAGGGAAAAGGGCUCUAGAGGAAUUGGGGGUUUGGUCCUCUUAAGGUCUGAGGUCUUUGGGUCUCUGGGUUUGGUCAGGCCCUUAGGGACUGUGGGCUUAGGCUGAGCAAGGGUAGCCUUGGGACAUGUCUCAAACUCUGGUGAAGUCAAGAAAGGCCACAGAGUGGAAAAUCCAGAAUCUACAUCCCAUUCGUGCCAGAGCCCUGUUCCAUCCACUCUCUGAGCAGAUGUCUCCCUACGAAGGCCCAAGGGACUCCUGAAAAGCAGGCACGAAUAGACCGCAGAGUUAAACAGUGCAAGGGCAUGCUGUGGACCCACCCACUUUGGGUAAAUCUUUUGACUUCUCUGUGAAUCAGAAAAUCAAUGGGAUAGACUAUGCCUCACAGGGCCACCCUAGGGAUCGAAUAAGAUGAUGGAUACCAAAGUGCUUCAUUAACAAUAAAGUGCCA